UUAAAGGAUCCAGCGUUGCCACAGCUGUGGUGUAGAUCUCACUUGCAGCUCAGAUUCAAUCCCUGGCCAGGGAACUUCCAGAUGCCCCAGGUGUGGCCAUAAAAAGAAAAAAAAAAAAAGAUUCUGGUGCUAACACACCAAUAGACACAUGUACUUUUGAUUGAAUACAAGUUCAGAAUUAGUCUCAACCGGUAUCAGGGUUCUGGAAUUAGUGGUGAUAAUUGCACGACUGUGACUAUGCUAAAAAAAGACUUCCUUUUACAUUCAAUAUAUAUAUAUUGAAUAUAUAUUCAUAUUGAAAAAUAUAUAUGGAAUGUUGAAUAUAUAUAUAUUGAAAAUGAUAAGGGUGGGACUUUUGAAAUAUUUCAGAGGUAAUAUUGGUUCAAGUGAAUUGACAUUGAAGGAAAAGAAUGUAGUAUCACUUUAUUUAUUACACCAAAUCGAUUGAAAAAAGCAUACAUAUUUUACACAACAGCCGGGGCAAACUAUUUUUUACGAUCUUCUUGUGGAAGGGCUUUUAAAGCUUUAUAGAAAUGUUCUGAACCCAAAUCGAUACACUUAAACACAUAAAACUCUUGCAUAACACAUAGCAAAAUGUUUUCAAAGUAUCAUAUGCAAAGUCAGGGCACAUAAUAUAAAGGGAAGAAAAAGUUGCCCAUGUGAUGAAGGGCUACUUUUUGUGAGAUUCAGAGCUCAUACACGUCAAUUUCUUAAAAACAUCACCCAGUCCAGAGACCAAGAGAGGUAUGAGUGGUUAACAGAGAGAGUAAAUACGUGACCCCUCAUUUGCAGUUAAGGGAACGCUUAUUAAGUUCACAAUGCAAUGCCAGUUUUUACCUGUCAGGUUGGGAACUAUUAAGACUUCUAUCAGGAAAGGAAUACACUUCCCAAAUUAGACCACUCGGGUGCAAUUCUGAUUUCACCACCUACCCGCUGUGUGUCCGCAGGUUAAUUACUCAACCUCUCUGUGUUUGUUUCCUCGCCUGUAAAGUAGAAAUACUAGCAUCCAAUUCGCAAAUAGUGAGGAAGGUAGAAUGAGACUGUACACACGAAGCACUCAGAACGGAGCCGACACCAAAGGUGCAGGAAAUAAACGUCAGACUUUGCAAGGCUGUGGGGAGAAACAGGUGCACGUGUGUUUGGUGGAAGCGCAGAUCAGAACAACCCUCUUGGAUGCCAGUUAUGGAGAUCUAACCAUGUGCAAAACGCACACACUUUAAACAAUGACUCAGCAGUUCCUCGGCUAGGAUUUAUCUCCAUGGCUCUUCUCACGAAUGCGCCCUGUAUGCUGUGCACAGAAUUGCUCACGCAGCACGGUCAGCCCUCACUCACAAAAUGGGAAACAACUCUGCCUGUCCGUACUUUUUUCACUUACAGCCUGUCACGGCGGAAGUGGUUAUUGGAGGGUACCAUGGUUGUCCAAAAGAAUGGAAUUAUUGGGCAUGAACGGACAGAAAAAGUUCUCAGAUGUAUUCUGAGUGAGACCAAACCAGGCAAGGGAUUCUUAUGAAGGAUAGGAAGGAAUUUGCUUAUGAAAUGUCUUCUCUUUUCUUUUCUUCUUUUAUGGUGGCAACAGUGGCACAUGGAAGGUCCCAGACUAGGGCUGAAUCACAGCCUACGCCACAGCCCUGCCAGAUCCAAGCUGCAUCUGCGACCUACACUGCAGCUGGCAGCAAUGCCAGAUCCUGAACCCACUGAGCGAGGCCAGGGAUCCAGCCCACAUCCUCAGGGACACUUUGUUGGGUACUUCCCCGCUAAGCCACAAUGGGAACUCCUGUUUAGGAAAUUUGAAAAGGUGAUGCACCCAUAUAUGAGUGUAUAUCACCUUUUAAAAUGUACAUAUAUUUAUGAAUUAUAUAUAGAUUAUUAAGAAAAAAGCUAAAUGUAUUUAGCUCCCUUUCCAUCCUUCUUGCAAGUACAAGAAUUUAGAAUAUGUGUCUAAAGGAAUUAGAUGUGAGAGAAUUCUUUAUAGUCUCUCCAACAAACACUAUGGGAGGCUCAGGCUCCAACUGAGCGAACACGGGUCCUUGUUUGGAGUCUGCAGGGCAGAAGUGGCCAAUCCUAGAAGUGCAGAGGGUCCGUGGGUAGUAGGGACCCAGAGUUCCUCUCCUGCACAGACCCCUUCCCCACAAAGGGGGCCCUUUCCCGACAAGACCGGCGGUAGGGGGUGCCAGCGGACUGGGCAAGCAGCAGGCUGGAUCCCAGGCUUGGACACAGCCUUGAGCCCACAGUGGAGACCAGUUUCUCUUGCCUCCAAGAAAACACAGAAACUUGGACAAUGAACACAUCUGGGUGACCAGGGUGGGCCAAAGACCAUAGCACCCUUCUCCCACGUGCUCUGGGCCACAGACAACGCCAAAGACACACAACACAGGGAGGGAGAAAGAUCCUCAACACGUGAUCCAGAUUUAAUGUCCAAGGGUAUGGACCUAGUUUAGGAAAAAUCAAAGUUUAUCCUACACCAAAAGUAAAGGGCAUCGUGGACAAAUUUUGUCACUGAGAUCUGAAUUCAUUUCCUUUUCCUAUCGCUCAGAUGCAGGAUUGUGCAGGAAAUUCAGGCUCUCCUCACAUGGAUAACUUUUCUGGAAAAGAUACGCAAUGGAUGGCUAACAGUGCUUCCUUGCAGUGAUAAGGACCAGGGAUUAGGACAUCGAAAUUUUAUUCCAUAUUUUUCCAUAUUCUUUAGAACAUUAAUAUGUAAUCAUAACUAUAAUAUGGAACGUGUACAUAUUUUUAAAAAUUUAUUUUAUCGAAGGAGAGUUGACUUAGAGUGUUGUGUUAAUUUCUGCGGUGCAGCAACUGCUUCAGUUACACCUAUACAUAUAUCCAUUCCUUUUCAGAUUCUUUUCCCAUAGGAGUCAUCACAGAGUAUGGAGUAGAUUUCCCUGCGCAUAAUUUGAAAAGGUACGUGCACCCCUAUGGUCAUCACAGCAAUAUUUGCAACAGUCAAGAUAUGGAAGCAACCUAAAUGUUCAUCCACAGAGAAGUGGAUCAAGAAGAUGUGGUACCUAUACAUAACGGAAUAUUACUCAGCCAUAAAAAAGAACGAAAUAAUGCCAUUUGCAGGAACAGGGAUAGACUUAGAGGUGAUCUUCCUAAGUGAAAUAAGUCAGAGAGAGAAAGGCAAAUAUCAUAUGAGAUCACUAAUAUGUGGAAUCUAAUAAAAAUGAUGCAAAAGAACUUAUUUACAAAACGGAAACAGACUGAAAGACCUGAAACCAAACUUUUAGUUACCAAAGGGGAAAUGUUGCCAGGAGGGAUAAAUUGGGAGGUUGGGAUUGGCAUGUACACACGACCACAUGCAAAAUCGAUAAGUAACCAGCCCCUACCGUACCGUAUAUGAUAUUUUUAAUGUUAAAAUCUCUAUUUUCAUUAUCAUUAUAAGAGGCAUUCGUGAUUUCCGUCUACAUGGCGGGGAAGAGUUCUGACUUACCAUCUUGAUGACAGAAUGGGACAUGUCACCCGCCCUCCUCUCUGCCGUGAGCGGGCUCUGUAACCUCGGAGGUGGCUUCCCCCUGUGGGAUUGGAAUAGAAACCCAAGAUCUUUAUCUCUAAAACCUCACUCUCGAUAACUCAGUAACCAGAUGCCGGCUGUGUCCUUGAGAUGCUAUCUCGGCGAAUGAAAUGCAUGGGGAUUUGUCAGGACAGGGAUUGGCUUUCCUUGGGAAAAGAAGGCACGGGGGCGGGGGGCAGCAGAGGCGUGAUAAGUUAGGUCCGUGGAAACAUGGUCGUGAAGCGAGGAAAGCAGUGGAACAGAAAAGAGCAAACAGUCCCCGAAGAGGUUCGGCUUUGAAACCCCAGGGUGUUGUAUCUGCCCUUUGCCAUAAAAAUGACAGAGGUGGGUUAAGGGGUCUGCACCCCUUAUUAGCCACGAGCAUUAACGACAAAGAUGAAAGCCCUCAAAGGCCAUGUUUGUCACUGGGAUCUGAAUUUAUCUCCCUUUGCUGAAUCUUAAAUUCGUAGUUAACUGAAGGCCAGGCCGGCACCAAGGAGGUCAUGUUUCCAGGCGACAUUUCCUAAAGCCAUUAGAGGUCCGUGGUUCCCCCCAUAAAUCUGGAAGCUGGGAUCUGACAAGGCUAAUGGGGGGCAGGGGGGGAUCCACACUCAACCCCACUAUCUUAGGUUUAUCUUUGAGAAGCAGACAGAGGCUGCUAGCCCACCGCUUGUAACUACCCAACAGGACGCGGUAGAAGAGCCAGGAGGUGGGAGCUUUUGGGGAGAAAAUCCUUUCAGGUUUUGAUCUUUUCCUUUUGCAGAAAUUCUGACAGUUGCUGGAAACCAUUAUCUACUUACCAGGGUUUAAAUUUGGCUUAGAUCUCCUCGAUGACUUUUAAGCCAAGCUCCAGUUGAAAAGAGAGAAGAAAGGAAGUUUGUUUGUUUGUUUCAAACAAAGAAAUUGGUCGGAAGCAUCCUAAAAGACCUUGGCUCUUCCAUUGUGGUCAAGGGGAGGCCUUUAAUUCCACCUCCUGCUUCAAAGUCACAGUGUAGACAAUACUUUUCUAAAUAGUCUGUUUAUUACACCUUUUUAAUCGUGUAGUGGCAGUUUCUGGAGAGUACUCAUAGAGGCAGAGAAAGAACACUAACAUUCAUUGAGCACCAGCUGUUUCCAGGGAACUGUGCUUUUUCAUAUAGGCUGCAUUAAACUCGCUCCAUAACCCUGUUUGGCAGAAAUUAUUCCCAUUUUACAGAUGAAUCUCCUGCCUGCAAGCCCUGGGACAAGCAGCAUCAUUAUAAACUGAUCUGGGGACCUCAAUUUGAGAACCAUUGAUUUAGACUUUGCUCGAGUCUUUGACAUUUCUGCUUGACAUGCCGUCCUACCUUUGUUCAAUUUAUGCAUUCAACAAAUCGUGACUGAAUUGUAACUGUAUUGCAAGCCCGGUGUGGAGUUCCAGAUGCGGACGUUAGCUAGCAAGGGAUCCAUGCCCUGCUCUUAGAGAGCAUCCAGUCUUUGGGGGAAUGACAAACAGUACUCAUAUUUGUGUGACUAAACAUAACCUUUGAAAAUUGUCAUAAGUGCUAUGAAGAAUUUCAGGGUGCAACGAGACUCAGUGAGAGAGGGUUUCUAUCUGGGGCCCCCCAGCUCAGAAGUGGGGUGGGAAGAGAGAGGGACAGGAGAUCUGUCAGCAGGAGCAUAUCCCCAGAUGGUCCUGCGCACAUGCGAGGAGCAGAGAAGGCCCGGGGGGCUGGAGGUUAUCCUUAGGCAGAUGUUGAAGGCGAAGCUUGAGAGGUAAGCAGAAGCCCGAUCACAGAGAGCGUAGUUUGUCAUGGAAAUAAUUUUGGACUGAGCUUUAAAGCAUCGCGGGGCUGUUGGGCAGGGGUAGGCAGGGGAGGGACUUUGUACUGCUUUGCAUUACUCGAUGAUCCCUUGGUUGUGAGACAAGAGAGUGGAGCGGGCCUAGGGAUGCUGAGGGGAAACUAGGGAUGAAGAUGGGAGUAUGGCCCAGGUGAGCAAUGAGAUGAGGCUGGAGAAAAGUCCUUCUCUCUCCCGCCCUCUCCCCCGUGCGUGUGUACAUGCAUUUCCAGGCUUUGGAUAAAUGAGAGAAAACGCAUCUUGCGACUUUGGGAUUAGCAUACGCGCACCCAAGUAUACGGAACAACUGGCCAGCAGCCCGUGGACCUCUGCCCAAUAUUCUGCGAUCACCUAUGUGGGA
rnacentral:lncRNA from 1 species